rnacentral:rRNA from 1 species
UGGGGAAUCUUGCACAAUGGGCGAAAGCCUGAUGCAGCGACGCCGCGUGGGGGAUGAAGCAUUUCGGUGUGUAAACCCCUUUCGACUGGGAAGAAUGCCUCGCAAGAGGAGUGACGGUACCAGUAGAAGAAGCCCCGGCUAACUACGUGCCAGCAGCCGCGGUAAGACGUAGGGGGCCAGCGUUGUUCGGAAUUACUGGGUGUAAAGGGUUCGUAGGCGGUGCGGCAAGUUGGGAGUGAAAUCUCUGGGCUUAACCCAGAGGCUGCUUCCAAAACUGCUGUGCUCGAGUGUGAGAGAGGCUCGUGGAAUUGCAGGUGUAGCGGUGAAAUGCGUAGAUAUCUGCAGGAACACCCGUGGCGAAAGCGGCGAGCUGGAUCACUACUGACGCUGAGGAACGAAAGCUAGGGGAGCAAACAGGAUUAGAUACCCGCGUAGUCC